rnacentral:rRNA from 1 species
CCUACGGGUGGCAGCAGUGGGGAAUAUUGCACAAUGGGCGCAAGCCUGAUGCAGCCAUGCCGCGUGUGUGAAGAAGGCCUUCGGGUUGUAAAGCACUUUCAGCGGGGAGGAAGGCGGUGAGGUUAAUAACCUCAUCGAUUGACGUUACCCGCAGAAGAAGCACCGGCUAACUCCGUGCCAGCAGCCGCGGUAAUACGGAGGGUGCAAGCGUUAAUCGGAAUUACUGGGCGUAAAGCGCACGCAGGCGGUCUGUCAAGUCGGAUGUGAAAUCCCCGGGCUCAACCUGGGAACUGCAUUCGAAACUGGCAGGCUAGAGUCUUGUAGAGGGGGGUAGAAUUCCAGGUGUAGCGGUGAAACGCGUAGAGAUCUGGAGGAAUACCGGUGGCGAAGGCGGCCCCCUGGACAAAGACUGACGCUCAGGUGCGAAAGCGUGGUGAGCAAACAGGAUUAGAUACCCCGGUAGUC